rnacentral:rRNA from 1 species
GGCGAACGGGUGCGUAACACGUAGGUGACCUGCCUGGAAGAGGGGGAUAACCAGCGGAAACGCUGGCUAAUACCGCAUGCACUCUAGGAUCCUAGAAGUCCUAGAGUAAAGCUUAAAGUACUUCCAGAGGGGCCUGCGGCCUAUCAGGUAGUUGGUGAGGUAACGGCUCACCAAGCCGAUGACGGGUAGCUGACCUGAGAGGGUGGUCAGUCACAGGGGAACUGAGAAACGGUCCCCACUCCUACGGGAGGCAGCAGUGAGGAAUAUUGGGCAAUGGGCGCAAGCCUGACCCAGCAAUGCCGCGUGCAGGAGGACGCCCCUCGGGGUGUAAACUGCUUUUAUGUGGGAGCAGAACGGAGCGUACCACAUGAAUAAGUCACGGCUAACUACGUGCCAGCAGCCGCGGUAAUACGUAGGUGGCGAACGUUAUCCGGAAUUACUGGGCGUAAAGGGUCCGCAGGCGGGCGAGCAAGUCUGGCGUGAAAGCUCCCGGCUCAACUGGGAGAAGCCGUUGGAAACUGCUCGUCUUGAAUCACGCAGAGGUCGGUGGAAUUCCCGGUGUAGUGGUGGAAUGCGUAGAGAUCGGGAGGAACCUCGAAAGCGAAGGCAGCCGGCUGGGUGAUGAUUGACGCUGAGGGACGAAAGCGUGGGGAGCGAACAGGAUUAGAUACCCUGGUAGUCCACGCUGUAAACGAUGUGUGCUCGGUGUCUGGGUGUGAAAGCCUGGGCGCCCAAGCUAACGCGCUAAGCACACCGCCUGGGGAGUACGGCCGCAAGGCUAAAACUCAAAGGAAUUGACGG